rnacentral:rRNA from 1 species
UACGUAGGGUGCGAGCGUUGUCCGGAAUUAUUGGGCGUAAAGAGCUCGUAGGCGGUUUGUCACGUCUGCUGUGAAAUCCCGAGGCUCAACCUCGGGCCUGCAGUGGGUACGGGCAGACUGGAGUGCGGUAGGGGAGAUUGGAAUUCCUGGUGUAGCGGUGGAAUGCGCAGAUAUCAGGAGGAACACCGAUGGCGAAGGCAGAUCUCUGGGCCGUAACUGACGCUGAGGAGCGAAAGCGUGGGUAGCGAACAGG